GUUAGAGAGAGGGGGAUAGACAAGAGCCUCUCAGAGACCCUGGGGGGAGAUGGUGGGAGAGAUGAUGACAUGCGAAGAAUCACACUAGACGAUUGUUCUAAAAAAUUUGCAUGAACUUCUCAUUCUCUGAGCAUUGUCGUUUUCGUUGAACCUGCGUUCGAGUUUUUUCUGCAUCACCUCCCUUUGUUACUGCGAGCCAAAUCAGUGCAGAUGAACCGCUUGGGGCUGAAAUCCGUGGUCUACCACGGUGACUUGCGGUUAGGGGAACUGGAUGUUAUCCCUGUCAAGGGCCAGAAUUUCCAGUUCCCAAACAACGAGAUUCGAAUUCGCCAUAUAUCGCCGAGGAGUGAGCGCUGUCCUCCUCUUUCAAUAUUGCAAACGAUUUCUGCAUUCUCUGUUCGAUGCAAGCUCGAGUCAUCACUGCCUAUUGAACAACCUCAUUUGAUCAAUCUUCACGCUUCGUGUUUUUAUGAAUUGAAGACGGCGGUGGCAUUAGUUGGGGAUGAAGAAAUUCACUUGGUGGCUAUGCCGAGUAAGAGGAAGAAGUUUCCAUGCUUCUGGUGCUACUCAGUUCCUGUGGGUCUAUUCAAUGCAUGCUUGGGGUUGUUGAAUCUGCGGUGUCUUGCGAUUGUGUUUGAUUUGGACGAGACCCUCAUCGUUGCAAAUACCAUGAAGUCAUUUGAAGAUAGAAUUGAGGCCCUGCGAAGUUGGCUUGCUCGUGAGACUGAUCCGCUGCGAGUGGCCGGAAUGUCUGCGGAACUUAAGCGUUACAUGGAUGAUCGUACACUUUUGAAGCAGUACACGGAAAGCGACUGUGUCGUCGAUAAUGGAAAGUUAGUCAAGGUUCAAUUGGAAGAGGUGCCUCCAUUGUCUGAUAACCAUGAGAAAGGUGUUCGGCGUCCUGUCAUUAGAUUGCAAGACAAGAAUAUAGUCCUCACUCGCAUCAACCCAGAGAUUCGAGAUACUAGUGUGCUAGUAAGGUUGCGACCUGCUUGGGAGGAUUUGAGAUGCUACUUAACUGCAAAAGGACGGAAACGGUUUGAAGUAUAUGUUUGUACUAUGGCUGAAAGGGAUUAUGCCUAUGAAAUCUGGAGACUUCUUGACCCUGAGGAACAUCUUAUAGGUUCAAAGCAACUCCUAGAUCGUGUUAUUUGUGUCAAAUCAGGCUCCCGAAAAUCUUUACUGAAUGUCUUCCAACGUAAUAUGUGCCAUCCAAAAAUGGCAAUGGUGAUUGAUGACCGUUCAAAGGUUUGGGAAGACAAGGACCAACCCAGGGUUCAUGUAGUUCCUGCCUUUACUCCUUAUUAUGCUCCACAGGCAGAGACGGCCAGUGCUGUUCCUGUCCUGUGUGUAGCAAGAAAUGUAGCAUGCAAUGUCAGAGGCUGUUUUUUCAAAGAGUUUGAUGAGAAUUUACUUCAAAGAAUUUCUGAAAUUUUCUAUGAAGAUGAGGUUGCAAAUUUACCAAAACCUCCCGAUGUGAGUAACUACUUGAUGUCUGAGGAUGUGCCUAAUGGUAGUGUGAAUGCCCCCAUCAUUGAGGGAAUAAAUGGUGUAGAAGCUGAACAGAGGGAUGAGAAGUCUUCUGUUGAUUUGCCCACUCGAUCUAUGGCCAACAAUGUUGAGCUGAAACCUGAAACCUCUCAACUACCUGCUGGUGUAAUUUCAAACGUUAUAUACCCUAUGUCUUCCCCCACCUUCAUUCCUUCUCAGAAGCCUGGUUUGCUUGGACCUCCGAUCAAGCAUGAAGGAAGCUCUGUUAAUCAUGAUUAUGACGUGAAAAAGGGACUAUUGACAACGAGGCAUAUUCCAGAUAUAAGAAUUCAAAGUUCAGGGGAACCCCCUCUUAUAUCAAGGCCUCCCACUCAAGCAUCACCAUCUUUAAUGCAUCCACAUGGAGGCAGGUUGGUAGAAGAUGAUAGCAAAGCUCAGCUAAAUAUUCGACCUUCUGUACCGGUUAAUGUAAAGUUUGAAAAGCAUCAGCUUCAGCUGAAACCUUUGUCUCAGAGUAUGCUGACUUCAGCUUCUAAUCCUUCAUUUUCACAAGCAUCACUAGGGAAGAGUGAAGAGGCAAGUUCUGCCCGUGAUUUGCAUAGGCAAACUCUUCCAUCUCCAUCCCUGCUAGCAGAGUAUGAUGCAUCUCAGGAUCAUACGUCUUCCAUUAACAGAGAAUUUCAAAGUGAGGUGGGAAAAUUGAACUUCUUACCUGCUCUGUCUAUUGGAGUGCUGCAAGAAAUUGGAAGGCGAUGUAAUUCUAAGGUUGAAUUUAGGUCCAUUGUAAGCACCAGCAAGGACUUGCAUUUUUCAAUGGAGGUGCUAUUCACCGGUGAGAAAAUAGGCGUUGGAAUGGGUAAGACAAGGAAGGAUGCACAACAGCAAGCUGCCGAGAAUGCCCUCCGUAGUCUAGCAGAGAAGUAUGUUGCACAUAUGGAACCUAGAUUUGGAGCAGUUGAUAGAGAAUUUGACAAACUCUCUCUCGGACAUGAAAAUGGUUUCUUAUGGGAUGACGUUAGUCCUGAAACCAAUGAACUGCUGGGAGAUGGGCUGCCUAAAGAAAGUGCUUCUGAGGUUUUGAAUGGUGAAAAUAAGGUCUCUUCUGCUAAUGCAGCCAAUCUGCAAUUGGAAAAACGUGCCAGCUCACCCAGAUUGGAUCAGUCUGUUGCUAGCAAACGAUUUAAGGAAUGAAAGGGUCGCAAAACUCUGACGAAGUACAGUUAGGGCAGCAGCAACACGGAACAAUAGGCAUAUACUAAUUCAUCGGAACGCAUACAAUGAGUUUCAAAAAAGAUUUCAAUUUCAAUGGCUGUUAUUUGCCAAGUCAUAUCGCAAUAUCUCUAGCAUAGCAUUUGACGAUAUGCUGAGACAAAUCUUUGCAUAUGCAUGAAUUGUAUGGCAUACUAUUGAUCAGGAGAGGGGAAAUCUACUUUUUGAGCCUAUGAAGGAAAAAGAUGCACCCGGAUAAGGUUUGUUCAUGAGCCGGGUUACUGAAACAUGAAGAUGAAUCUGAGACCUCUUUUUUGGUGUUCGAAUCAUAAACACCGGUGAUUCUUUAUGAUGACUUUUUAGAAGUGUCAAGCUGGAGGAAGGGAUUCUGCUAUUUAGUCCCUGCAAGUUGUGAGGUGAUCCUGAAGUCUUUGCAGGCUUCACUUUCAGCUUUCAAGCUUCCAAGGCAAGUGGGCUGUUUGUUCACAAGAGUCCAAGAAGGUUGGCUUCUCGCAAAAUCUUUUAGAUUUUCUUAGAUGAAUUUAAUUUGAAAAAUGACUGAUUUAACAUUGGCCCUGUGGAUGGGAGGUUUAGAUACGAAUUUUGGUGUAAAAUGUUUUGUUCGAGGAAGGCCAACCGGAGGACAAAUAUCACUCUAUUCCUAUGUAACUUGGAUUUUAUAAGAUAUUGGGUAUUUAAAAUGCUAGUCAUUUUACC